rnacentral:rRNA from 1 species
AUUGAACGCUGGCGGCAGGCCUAACACAUGCAAGUCGAGCGAGCGGCGGACGGGUGAGUAAUGUCUGGGGACUGCCCGAUAGAGGGGGAUAACUACUGGAAACGGUAGCUAAUACCGCAUACUAUCGGAUAACCCAUAUGGGAUUAGCUAGUAGGUGAGGUAAUGGCUCACCUAGGCGACGAUCCCUAGCUGUUCUGAGAUGAGGAUCAGCCACACUGGGACUGAGACACGGCCCCUACUCCUACGGAGGGAGCAGUGGGGAAUAUUGCAUAAUGGGCGCAAGCCUGAUGCAGCCAUGCCGCGUGUAUGAAGAAGGCCUUCGGGUUGUAAAGUACUUUUGGCAGAGAAGCGGUAUCUGCAGAAUAAGCACCGGCUAACUACGUGCCAGCAGCCGCGGUAAUAC